UUAGAAGGGCUGUUUCAUUAAUUUUGGAGGGAAUUUAUUGCUGACAAAAGACUGCAUUAUUGAUGGUGGGAGGACAGCCCCGCCUGGUCUCCAGCGAGCUGCGGGAAAGCCGCCCCCUCUCCCUCCCGCAGCCUCCCGGCGCUGCAGCCGGCGAGGGAAGCCCUGCGCGGGAGGAGGGAGUCCUGCUGGCGCCCAGCCCACCGGGCUGCGAGGGCACAGCCUCCCUUGGGCUGCACUGCUGCUGUCGCUGAACGGGAAGGACAGUUAGAGGUCGCCCAGCUUCAUCCCCGCCCUGCACAGCCCGGGGACGACACCCAGAGAGGGCAAGCUGAUUGCCCCACAUACCAAGUCAGAACUCAGGUAGAAAUCAGGCCCUGAACUUUAUGUGCAGAAGCUAUCUCCUACUUCUUCUAUGUCUUUCUGUAUCUUCUCAGUUGCCUAGCAGAAUACCUGGAUCCUGGCAGGUGCUCAAAAGUAAAAAGUGAAUAAAUUUUUUUGCAUUGAAUUAAGUAUAAUUCUAAUGAAAUCUAUCUCCAUUUUGAACUUAAGGGAUGGUUCACUUAACAGGCUAGUAAAUAUAAAUGAUGACAGAAUAACCUUUAGAAGGAAAGUGACUUGCCCCAAAUUCUACAGUUCCUAGCUGGGAGAGCUGAGGCUCUGAGGACAACUUAUAUGGGCUUUUAUAAUGUCUUAAGGUAAUGCUUAAAGAACUACUAAGGAUUCUGUGAUGGGAAAGUUACAGUUACCAUUGCCAAGCAUCCCACAGUUCUUGGGAAGGAAUAUGGCAUGAAUGGAAAAAACUGUAUAAGAAAUGCAUGAAGUGCCUCUUUGGAAGGAAGAAGAGUAAGAUACAUUACAUUCAAGACCAUGAUGAAUGCAAGUUUUUCCUAGGAUAAUUUAAAUUCAAUAAGUACUUUUUUAUUUCUUCUAUUUCUUUUUUAUUUCUCAGAUAUAACUGAUAGUAUGCUCCUUAACUUCUUAGUUAAUCCACCUGGAGCACAGGAGCCUCCUGAGUAAUAUGUAUUCCAGCCUUUUUGUUGUUAUUUUCUUGUUUUCUUCCUGUGAUGAUGUCUGGUCUCAAAUUUUCACCCAAUCAUCCUGAGGUCAUACUGUUGUGAUAUUCUGAUCUUCUGGCCAGGACUUCCAUGUUCUCCCUGGAAAGGAAGAAAUAUUGCUAUGUCUACGUAAACAUUGAAAGCCUGAAUAGUCCUAAAUUUAUCUUGGAUGGCACAGGAUUCAUUCACUGUUAUUAAAAAUAUCCCAUAAUGUACACAGACCUGUACCCCUGGGGAUAAAAAUACACUAUAUAUUUAUAAAAAAAUUUAAAAAAUAUAAAAUAUAUCCCAUAAUGUGUCGUGUAGAGCAAAGAAUGCUCAUAAGAAGAAGUUCCUUAAAGAAGAUGUUUGGGUGCAUAUGCCUGGGUGGCUCAGUUGGUUAA